CCUACGGGUGGCAGCAGUGAGGAAUAUUGGUCAAUGGACGCAAGUCUGAACCAGCCAAGCCGCGUGAAGGACGAAGGUGCCAAGCAUUGUAAACUUCUUUUGUCAAGGGACAAAAUCAGGCUCGAGAGCCUGACCGAGGGUACUUGAAGAAAAAGCAUCGGCUAACUACGUGCCAGCAGCCGCGGUAAUACGGAGUAUGCGAGCGUGAUCCGGAUGUAUUGGGUUUAAAGGGUGCGUAGGCGGGCUGUUAAGUCAGCGGUAAAAGCCCGGGGCUCAACCCCGGCGAGCCGUUGAAACUGGCUGUCUUGAGAAGUCGAGAGGUAUGCGGAAUGCGCGGUGUAGCAGUGAAAUGCUUAGAUAGUGCGCAGAACUCCGAUUGCGAAGGCAGCAUACCGGCGGCGAUCUGACGCUGAGGCACGAAAGCGUGGGUAUCGAACAGGAUUGGAUACCCCAGUAGUC
rnacentral:rRNA from 1 species